AAACAGUACAAAAUAAAAUACCUAUUUAUAAGAGUAAGAAUCUAAUUAUAUUAGGCUCCUUCUCUCUAAAAGUCUUCCUUCUCCACCCCUUUCCCUCUACUCCACUCGCCCUCUCUUCUUUUCUUGUUUUUCUUGGUUUUAUGCCAAUAAUGAUUAGCUCUACCCUCCUUUGAAGUUGAUCUGUAUUUGUUGCCUCAAUUUUUGAGUAUUUGUGCUCCUCUUUUUUGGAUGUUUUAUAUGGUUUGUUACUUCAUUGUGUGGUUGAUAGUCCAAAAAGAUGGGCAAGUCUUUUUUUUUUUUUUAAGCAUAUUUUAUUUUUGGUGAUUAUCAUAUAGGA
rnacentral:misc_RNA from 1 species